UACGGAGGGUGCAAACGUUGCUCGGAAUUAUUGGGCGUAAAGCGCACGUAGGCGGCCGAAUAAGUCGGGUGUGAAAGCCCUGGGCUCAACCCAGGAAGUGCACUCGAUACUGCUCGGCUUGAGUAUGGAAGAGGGUUGCGGAAUUCCCGGUGUAGAGGUGAAAUUCGUAGAUAUCGGGAGGAACACCAGUGGCGAAGGCGGCUCUCUGGACAGGUACUGACACUGAGACGCGAAAGCGUGGGUAGCAAACAGG
rnacentral:rRNA from 1 species